rnacentral:tRNA from 1 species
CCGGGCCCGCGAUCUGGGCGAUCAGGUCCGACUGCCGGUCGGCCGCGGACCGGAACGCCCGCAGGUGCCGCGGUUCGACGCCGUAGUCCGCC